rfam:Flavobacterium sp. LM5 Flavobacterium_sp_LM5_contig1, whole genome shotgun sequence.
UUUUAACCCCGAUAGGAGCGGCAUCCUUUUUUUAUAAAGCUGACAGGUGUUAAAGACCUGUCAGCUUUAUAAAAAAAGAUAUAGCGGAUAGCGGGACUUUGC